GAAUUGGGUGAUACCAUCUUAAAUUCAACUUGCCUAUUCCAUCAGUUAGAGUGAUAUUUCCACGACAGUGCCAAAUUUCAAUUUGUGGCUUUGUUAGAUAAUGGUAUCCCUUAAGGUUGUCUACUUUAUUAUCUGCAUCCAUCUGUUCAGUCUAGCUCACUGGAGAAUGAAGCUUGUUUAACAACACAAGCAUGUGUUCAUUUAAAGCAAUCUCAUGUAAAUCUGGGUAAAAGAGUACUUAGCCACAUAAAUUUGAAAAUGCAUCUAUCAUUAUAUAGGUUGGUAAAAUACUGCAUAGGUUAUUUUUGCUUUUUGCAAUGUACAUAAGCAACUUAUACAACUCUUUGUAAAAGAAAAGACUUUGAACAAUUUUUUUAAAUGACAAAAUCAUGUCCACAUCACACGUGAAAUAUCAAUGUCUUCUAUAACAUCAUUUCAAAAUCACUGUAUGGUAUAUUUGGGUAUUACUUUUAUAGGAAUGUAAAAAGGACAUGCCAGCUAGGAGGUAAGGAGGUGGUUGUGUUUGGUGGACACAGAUGGAGCCUAAGAAAGAUGGACAGGGUUUCAUCCCCACACCUCAAGUAUUGAUUGCAUGGAGGAUGCUGUUUAGACUCCAUUGGGUGGAGCUACCUUCCUAGUUGAGAGUUUGGACAUCUUUAAACUGUAUUCCAAUUUCCAACCGGUCGCCUUACUUCUGUCUCCAGAUUCUCUAUUUCAUGUGCCAGAGAAGUCUUUGGGACAGAUGACAAACCACAUCGUGUUUCAACAGUGUUAGAAAUAAGCAAUAAUCUGAGAAGAGAACAAAGAUUAUUUAACCUGGUAAUAUUUAGAGCAUCUUUUGUCAUUGUCAAUGGGAGACAUUCCACUUGCAGUCUCUGAACAUUAGGAUUCUUAAAAUCUGUGAUUCUCCUUCACUGUUACCUUCUGGUCUGUAAGAAUCUCCUGAAGUGUGUACAGCAAGAAGAAACCAGUCGCAAACCAGGAUGAUGUACAGAUUCUCUGAAAAGCUCUUUUCCAUGAACGUAGAGAAGCAGGAGAUCACAGCCCGAGGGACUGGACCUGCAUUGGUAACCGAUUCUUUGUCAAGUUCUGGAGAUCCCCGAACUGUUUGGACAGCUGUGGGAUUCUCAACCUCAGGCUGGCUUACAGGGUCUUUGGCAAGAUCAAGAGCAAUUCUUUGCCUCUGAUCUGUGUCCCUGCCUGGCCCGACAGCAUCAGGACAGCCUCUCUCAUUGUGUGUUGCUCCCCAAAAGGCAAGUGUGUGAAGGGCGAUGAUUGAACUGAAAUUUAUUUCAAGCAGAUAAAACUUGUAGUGUUGGGCUUUUACAGACAGUAUCAAGUAGCCAUAAGCCAACUCUGCAGGAAUCUGGGGAAAAAAGGAAAAGGACGGCACAUUUGAGGUGAUCUAGAAGCUUUACCAGCUACAAAAACAAAGACAAAAUAAAUGUAGAUGUAUAAUGUUUUGAACUUCAUCCUGCCUUUCAAAUGUUUACAUUUCAUUGGACAUCUUUGGAUUUGGAUUAAAAAGGAUUUUUUUUUUUGAUCAUGGAGUAUCAACUCAGCUUCAUAAGGUUUACCGUGAAAGGCCAUGCAUUUGGGACUUUCCUAUGCAUGUGUGACAGUUUUUUUUUUAACUCCUAAGCAUUUUCAACACAGCCCAAAAUCUAGCCCCACUAAUUACUUUAUUGGACACAUAAAGCUUCUGUGUGGGUGAUGGUAUUGAAAUGUAAAUAUAAAAUGGAAUAAUGAAUGUAUAUGAACUGUUCAUUGAUGUUAGGAGAUGAAGAGAAUGAAGUUCAACAUGUAAUGGUUUCAUUUCAUUGUAUUUUGUUUACUGAAAACGUUCUUGGAAUAUAAUACUCAAGCACAGAGGCCUACAUUUAUAGACAAAUCUGUUAUUUUGGAUAACCUUUUAAAUGGUGGUUGUGAUACUAGAGCUGGUUUCCUAGGAAGUUUCUAAUAACAUGUUUGAUAAAAUUGUCUUCCGGAAAAUAUUUUAGACAAGAAUUCUGAGGACGUUUGUAAAGAUAUACACAAUUCUAUAUUCAUUGUGUUCUCAGGGAUAACAUAAAAGGAAUGGCGCGCUUAAAAUGUCAAUCAGGAAAAAAGUAAGGCACUAGUAUUGUGUUGCAUAUUGAGAAUACUGUGCAUGAAAAAAACCAAAUACAAUUGUUUUCUGACUUUUCCUGAUACAGUUGUUAACAGAGUUUGGUAAGAUAUAUAGAAGAAAUAUUUUAAUACGUGAUUAUAAAACUAGAACUGUCAGAAUACCUCUGAAUGAUGUGCAUUUAAAAUCAUUUGAAUAGGUUAUUGCUGUGGGACGUUGGGGAAGGUGGAUUUUUCCGUAUACAGCUGUCACGUGGACAUGAUAUUCAGGCUGCUCUGCGGGGAUGUAGAUGUUACUGUGUAAAUGGUGUCUCUGUUAAAACAUGUGGUGUGAGGGAAUGGUCUCUCUAUGCUUGAUAAGUCCAGAGCUGUGAAGGCUUUGUGAUUACUUGUAAAGUGCUGUUACACCAUCUUAAUCAAGCAUGGAGGUGGCUGACAUUUGGGGCUUCACUCCAAGCUCAGAUGUUGGGAAUCCACAUAAGUUUUGUAAGUGGUUCUAAUGUUAAAUACCUAGAUUUCAAACUUAAUUUAUUUCUGCUACGUACUGCUAUACAUUUUGUUAUAAACAGUGUUACAAAUGUUAAAUAAUUUUGUUUCAAUAAGCAAUUUUCUACAUGUAUAUACAUGAUUGUAAAUGUACUAUAAAUAUGUAUCAACUUACUAGGAUAGAAUCUUUUUUGUUUGCCAAAGAUGUUAGAUAUAGCCUCUCUUGUGUGUUCUCUGUACCCUUAGGCUCUGUUUUCAAGUUGCAGUAAAGGCAAAUGUACAGGCCCCUGCUUCGUGACACGACUCACCCCUGGAAGUGUCGUGGCAGCUGCAGGUUGGCCUUCAUUUUUGGUUUUCUGAGUGUGUGCAGGUACAUCACAGUUCUUGGCACAGCUUAGAGACAUCUCUACAUGGGAUAAAACAGCCUUCAUUAGGAAAGGUUUAAUUUGCCAACGCAACCUGACUUUUAGUGAUACUAGUCAAUUUUUCUUGUUUUUAAGUACUUUUUUAUAGUUGUAUAGGUGUUUUUUAUGUGUUUUACGGGGACAUUAGCAAUGGUAUAUUAUCAAACCCAAGUUCAUUAAAUGUGGGCUGACAAAAGAAUGUUUUUGUAUUAUAUGUAUAUAGUAGACACAGUAUUAUGUUUUUAAAGCAUAGGAGCUACUAUAUUUGCAUGUUUUAUAGGUAUAUUUAUUAUAUAUAAAGUGCAAACUUCCCUAAUGGUUGUCGUAUUAUCUCUGAAUAAAUAAUUAGGCAGCUGAUGGGGUAUUUUUUAGAUCAGUGUAUAUAAAGUGGUUAGAAUGUGUAAGUUUUUGCUUUAAACUUUUAGUCCUUCAAAUAAAGGAUUGUUUACAUAUUCAUAUGUGUAUACAUUUAUACACAUAUACCUACAUGUACAUAUGUGUAUAUGAGUGUAUAGAACUGCUCAUUAAAAGUCAGGAUAGAGACUUACUGGAAGAUACUGUGAGGCUGCUAGCUAAUUACAUAGUGGACAAAUGUUUUGUUUUACAACAUCUGCAUAGGAUUUGUUGAUAGACAUAUUUUGUGAUUACCAAACUAAUCAGUUGAGAAACCUAUUUUGCAAAUUGAAUUGCUAUACUGUGUCUAUUUGGGAUAUAUUCGGUUAAAGAUGAUUGUAUUGUUUUUGUACAUAGAGGCUGAAUGUUUUCUAAAACAGUUUGGGACAUAGAAUUUCUAUCAAUUUCAGAAGUGUGUGUUCACUGAACUGUUGAAUGUAGUCACUGUUUGGUCUACAGAGUAUGCUUCUUCAUGAGUUAGGCUUCAUUUUGAGGAUUUGUGUUUUUGUGUUUUUUUUUUCUUUAGACAUUCUUUGAAUGUAGAAAGUGUAGAAAUCAUUGCCAUUUAUAUUUUAAACUAUGUAAACAUGCAUACAUUUUCUUCCAAUCUAAUUUUUGAAUGUUAACUGUUUGGACCGAGCAGGGAAGUUUUUGACUGCUGUAUGUAUAGUAGACAAGCUUCUUAGAGCAUGGGGACUGCCUAGGUGUAUAAAAGUGCCCUCUCUCCACGCGUACUAGGCGCGCACACACGCACACGCACACACACAGAGAGUAAAUAUUUUGAUGUUGAAUAUUGUGAAGGGGUGACUGAUCUGAUCAGAUCUUUGUUUCUAUACCACAUAACCUUGUAGAUAGGCAGAACUUUGUCAUUGUAAAAUAUGUUUCAUCUAAACUUGGCUGUUUUUGCCUGGUGCUGUUUUUUGCCUGGUGACAUGGUACACCAAUCUGGUCUGCUGUGAUCUUUAGACUGCCCUGUACUCAUCUUUAAAACACUUGUUCAUUGCUGGUACAGUUUUAAUUAUCAGAAGCUUUAAAUAGAGUUUCUGUCUGCAUUUGAGUGGAUUAAUGGCUAUGGACAAGGGUAGUGGAUGUUUUCUGGUUUCUCAUGUAUGAUUCUUUUUUCAUUACAUCUACUCUUCCGCACAUGCAUAUGCUAGUCAAGGCAUGUUAAAAUAUAAGGUUGAAAUAUGGUUGCAAAUUAUUUAAAAAACUCUAUCUAGGUGGCUCUUUGAUUUGUUAAAACAACUGUGUUUAUAAUAAUUGCUUUAGGACAAUUGGGCUUUGUAAAUAUGUAGGCUGUUGAUAAGACAGGAUGGUAGAGGGUAGAAAUUUUUCCCAGGGUAUCAUUCCCCUUCAUGUAACCUUCAUUGGAUUGGUGGGAUUGUUGAAGACAAAUUACUUAAAAACUGUUGUCAUGUUAGUGAGGAGAUAUAGAGUAAGCAUUGACACUAUUUUUAACUAAAUUUAUUAAGGUGACUGGUUAAUAACAUAAUGUGUUUCAAGUGUGCAUUUCUAUGAUAUAUCAUCUGUAUAUUGCUCUGUGUGCCCAUCACCCAAAGGCAGAUCACCUUCUGUUACCAUGUGUUGGGUCCCCUUUACCCUUUACUAGCCCCAACCCCUUGCCUACAACAAGAAUGAACCUCGAGAAUAUCAUGUUAAGCAAAGCAAGUGAAGUCAGAAAAAGCUGAGAACUGUAUGAUUUCACUUAAUGUGGGAUACAAAGCAUUGAAAGCAUUUUUACCUCAUGUUUUUAUUUAGAAGAAAAAUUAGAUAGUAAUCAUUAAAUCAAUUUUAUAUAAAUUGUCCAUUUUAUAUAAAAAUACCUCUAUUUCAGGGACAUGUAUGGUAGUUAUAUCUUAUUUUCCCAGAUACACUGAGGUUCAUGGUGGAAUUUGAUUUAACAUUUACAGAUUCUCUAAAAUACACGGUUCUGUGUUCAUUUGUUACAUAGCAAUAACCAAGACAACUUUGUAAAUAACGGACAAGUGAAAUAUCUGGUUGUACUGAGAGUCUCACAAAGUAUAAUCCUGUAAAUACUUUACUGUAAAUUUGUUACUACCAUUGUUUUUUAAAAAUACCAUGGCAAAGAAAUUAAUCAUUGAUAAAGAGACUCUUGGAGCUUUGAAAAAUUUAUAUAUUAAUUUGGUUAAGAGGAGAAAUGGACAAGAUAAUGCAUUUGCCCCAUUCUCAAAGAAGAGUUUGACAUUUUGACAAGUAUGAAUUGUUACUUUAGAAUACCAUGAGGGAUAUACUUAGUGUUUUGGAUAUACCAAGCUUCCUGAUAUGUUUCUCUUAAUAAUAGUUUUAUUAAUACUUUUGAAAAGCAGUUUCAAAUUCACAGCAAUAUUGAGGGGAAGGCACAAAGACUUCCCUUCCCCACACACAUGCAUAACCCUCCUUGCCAUCAACCCGAAGUUCGGGAAUGAUGCCUACUGUUAACAUCCCCCACCAGAGGGGCACAUUUGUGACAGUUGAUAAACCUACAUCAAAACAUCAUAAUCACCCAAAGUCCAUCGUUUACAUUAAAUGUUCGGUCUUGGUGUUGUACAUUCCAUGAGCUUAUGGCAUACAGCCAUUAUUAUGGUAAACACAGUAUUUUCAUUGCCCUAAAAGUCCUUUGUACUCUGCCUAUUCAACCUUCUGUAUUUUUUCUCUUUAUUUAAACAUUCAAGAUAUUAAUGACUUCAUCAAGCGGAUUUUAUACUACCUCUUGGAACUAUACACAGUUCUGUAUGUGUUCCCUUGGCUGCAUGACAAUAUUCAAGACAACUUUGUAAAUAACAGGCAGAUACACGUUUUUUUUUUUUACUUUAUAACAUCUAGUCUUUCCAUAUGUAUAGAGUCUCACCAGGUAUACUUAUGUAAAUAAUUGUAAAACUUCAUGGUGAUUUGUUGGAAAUGGGUUGACCUCAAAGUGGCUAGGAUGGUGGGUUUUUAGAGCUUGUACAUAUCUGUGACCUGUUGGUGUUAGGGGAAGGAAAGGUAUAAGGGAGUGUACCUUCACUCCUGACUUCUUGCUGUACAGGAAAGUUUACAUUUAAGCCAUUGUUCAGUGCUUGUAUUACUACAUGUCAUAAUUGUGUAUUUGUAUUGCUAAUAGGGCAUUAUGUAUUUUAAUCAUAGGAAAUGUUUUUAUUGGAACUUUUGUUCUCCCUCUUUGAAUUAUACACUUUUGUACUUAAUUGGGCUGCAUGACCACAUUCAAGACAACUUUGUAAAUAACAGGCAUAUAAUUUCAAUUUAAACAUCUAGGUUUUCUAGAUGCUGGGAGUUUCGCAAAAUUUUGUAAAUAUUUGAUGGCAAAUGUAGUUGGCUUUUGUAAUGUUUCAGCAAUGUGACAGAUAAUGGGUAACAGUCUGCCUCCAAGGGCUGUGGAAACAUUCUGAUGUUUGUUGAGUGAGGUUUUGCGAUAGGGGUUGACAUAUCAACUGCUUAUCUUCAUGUUAGGUUCUCAUUUAUAAGAGAAGAUUAGAUGGUACACCUGUAACAGAAAAUACACCUGGGACGUACUUUUAUCUUCAGUAGGAAGAAAAAGAUUUGAGAAGGGAAUUGUCACUUAGUCAUGUUCUGAAGUACUCAGUGAUACAUUCAGAGAUGGAAGACAGUCACAUUGCUGAUGUAAUUGUUAUUUUGCUAUGCUAGAUAAAUUUCUGCAAAUUUACAUACCCACAUAGCCAUAUAUAGUAAUGCAUAUACACAUAUGUAAAAUUAGUUUUAGGAAUAUAGUUUUGAAAAUGUUUCUUUUUACAUUUAUUAGUUUACUGAUUUUCAUUUUAUUUUCCUGAAAAUUUAUGGAAAUGGUAUUCUUAGUAUUCUUAUAGACUGCUUCAUGUUACAUUUAAAUGUAUGUUAAUUUUUAUAUAAGCUUCAUAUCUUAAUUUUAGUCUGUUUUCAUAUAUAUGCAUCUCGAUGGGAAUUUCUCUGGUUACAAAUAUUUUUUAAAUUCUCUGAGAGCUUUUUAAAGGUUUCUGGUGAAUUGAUAUAUUUGAAUGUUAUGUGACAAAUGCCAAAAAUGUUGACUCAGUUGUCUAUGAUGUAAAUUUAAAGUACAAAAUUUGCUUAAGAAAGGUGGUCCUAUCCAGUAUUGAUCAGAGCAUAUAUGUAAUAUCUUUUUGAACAUCUGUUGGUAAUGACAAUCAAAAUUGAAUGUGUAAAAUUUUAGAAAUGAUGUAAGGUACUGCUGUGAUUUUUAUCUGUCCCAACUCUCAGAUUUACAAAGAAGAAAGUAAGUUACAGAUCAAGUGUAACGUGGACCACUGAUAUAGACACCACCAAAAGAAAGAUUGUAAUGAUGGUAGCUUAUAUGUUGUAAGUAUAGCUUAAACACUUGUUUGAUAAAACAUUCUUAAGUGGAAGUGUUUUAAGUCGAUACUUAAAAUGGUCAUUUUUGAACAAAGACUGAGUAAUUGUGUUUCCAGAGGUAUGACUGUAUGCCUCUAGUUCUGCUCACUGGGGAAUGAGAUUGUCCUGUUAAGAUUAAAGAGUUAAGUAAUGAUUGUUCAUCAUCAUUGCGACUAUAAUGGUAAUUGUUUUGGCAUUCUUUCUGAAAUUUCUGUACAUGUACUAGCUACAUAGUGAGGCAUUGUUUAAUCCAUGUAUUUGUAUAUUGCUACACGACAAUCUACAAUGAGUGUAAUGAGUUAUGAAAGAGAAAGUUGUCCGGAGGAUCAUGGCAAAAUUUAAAUGCAUGGAGAGAUGGAAAAAGGAGGACUGCCUGUACUUUUCUGCAUUUAAAAUUUAAAAGGCAUUUCAAACGGAACAUUUAAUGAAUAAGGAAUUUUAACGAUAUAACCAACUUGUGCCUGUCUUCAAUCUUGCCUAUAAACAUCUGGGGAAUAUGGGGCCACUGUGUCCUGCUUUGUAUUCCCGUUGGCCAUUGUGAAUGGUGUUUGAGUGAUCAAGAAGAACACGUGACUGAGACAAGUGCAGCGGCGAGCUGGCCGUGUAAUACAGAGAGUCGAUCACCCAAGGAGAGAGGAGGGAGAGGAUAGUGUUGGAGGUGAACAUGAUGAGAGAGAAAUGUAUUUGCAGAUAAUAUGCACAGACCAAUAACAAAAGGAAUGAACAUCUGUCUUUCUGUGGAGUUCCUUUAUGCUUAAAUUUCAACUGAACCACAGGAGCUGAUAGUUCCAAGAACCUACACUUUUUGCUGUCCUGUCCUUGUUACAAAUCCCGAGAAUUGGCACCGCCGUUUUCUGCGGAGCAGUCGUCAACUGAAAUGCGCUUCGCACCUGGCUCUGCUCAUCAUUGACAGGACUGAGGGUGGCCGGCUGGCUGGCUGCUCCUCUGAUGCAGGGAGGUCCCUUCACGAGACAGUAGAGAUGACUGUCCAGGAGCCCAUGCCCUUGCUUCCGCCACCAUCUUCGAAACCAAAAGACAGUCUUCAUCUUGUGUUGGAGAUGCCACUUCUGUGCGUGGCCAUGGACACUUCCUACAGAUCAGACACACGGGACUGAGAAAGCCCGUGUGGGAAAGUGCCCCAGUGGGUGUCGUGGAGAGACUUGUAAGCAGGCAUGUUGGCUGUUUCCAUUGUUGCUGGUGGACUGAGUCCCAGGAGAUGGAGCAAGGGAGCCAUUUCUCCCAGGAGGCCUUGGGACAAGCCGUGGCGGGGCCCCGCCCACGCUCCUGUGAGCACUGAGGGAAUGUGUCUGACUCCACGCACCGUAGGGUGGAUUUGAAAUGUAGUCACUAGAAGUCAUCUUGUGAUUUUAGAGGACAUAGAUAGUUUUCAAGUAUAUAUUCAGUAGUUUCCCUUCAAGUGCCUUUGUUUUCCUUUUUUUUUUUUUAGUACCCAGUAUAGAUUGCCUCUUUUUAAUUUUUCAAUUAUAUUAGAGAUUCAUCACUAUUUUAUAUUAUUAGAUUUAGGUAUCCAGCACAGUAAUUAGACAGUCAUAUACUUCAAAAUGUUCCACCCCAUAUUUCAGGCACCCACCUGGUACCAUACACAGUUCUCAAACUGUUACUGGUUCCGCUCCCUGCGCUGUGAUCAUCAGUGGAGUGUUGUGCACACCCUCUUGGGUUGUGUUGACGAAUAAAUUGGUAGUCAAGUAGUGUUUUGGUGCCCAGGUACUGGCUACAUGUUUUCUGUGCAGUAAAUGUGCAGUUGUAGAACUCACUUUGAAUUUGUUCCAAGUAAUUUGCUGAAAUAAUUUUAAGUCGUUAGAAAAGCUGAGUGCUGAAGAAGUCCAAAAUUUAUAUUUUGAGUCAAACAGUAGCAGCCGCCUAAUUGUAGAGAGUCCUCAUCAAUCUCGGCGUGUAUGAGAGUUCAGACUGCACAGCACAGCAUGUGUAUGCUUUGACAGUGUGACACCACGGAGAAAUUAUCAGUCAAUGUUCAGGACACUCAUCAUAGUCUCAAUUCUUAAUUGCCAUUUGUAUUUCCUUUUUUUUUUCCAGUUCCCAUGGAUUAUUGGUGUCUUUGUAACUGGUUUCUUAAGAGCUCAUUUAUGAUGAAAGUGUUAACCAUAUCCCAUGCAUUGCAAAUGUAAUACCAUAUUUUUGUUAUUUUACUGUGCUGUUUUAGUUUUUGGUUGUAAGCAAGUUGUGUAUUGAAAUAUAAUCAUUCUGUUUUAUGCCUUUUGUGUUCGUGUUUUUCUUUAAGAACAUGUUUACAUUAUCAUACACUAUUGUCUCUAUUUCCUUCUAUUUUCAUCAAUUAUUUUGUCGUUUUAUUUCUUUUUUGGUGAACCAUUGCAGUGGUUUGGUAUGCAUUAUAUAUACAAAGUUCUCACCCUCACCUACGCAGUUAACCAAUUCUCUUAAAACCUCUGUCACAUAGAAAUCCCCACGUUUAGUCGGCCGACUUUCUGUGUUGUCUCCUGUUAAUGCUUCAGAAUUACUGAUGCUUGUUAGUCUGACCUUGUCCAUUGAGUUCUGUCUCAUUUCUCUUCUUUUUCAGAACAUUCCCUGUCUAUAAUCGCACUUUUUCCUCUCAGUUGCUGGUUAAAAUUACUUUGCAAGUUGGAAAAUAAGUGCAGUUUUAUUACAUUUGCAACAAACUUAAUAGAUUACUUAGGAGACAGUAAAUCUCUUUAGAAGUGAGCCAUCUUACACAACAACAGUUUUAACUGAGGUGAUACCAGUGUAAGAAGUGAGACCUCUUAGACGCUGGCAUUUCUGUGUCCACAUUCUAGUCUUGUUUGUCAUUUCUGUGGAGUUUUUCUUCAAAGUGCUGCAUUUUCCAUAAGCAAGGACCAAAGAGAUUGUGACUGCAGGUCGUCAACGUUGAACAACAGCAUCCUAGACAUCUGCGGAAGUGGCUCCAUCCACAGCGUCCCCCUGAUGCUGUCGUGCUCCCUGCUUUGGGAAGCCGACCGUGUCUUUGUUUCUCAGGAAUAGGACUGACCUGCUGUUUGGCAAGUAAUUGCCUGGAAUGUUGUUAAGGACUUCUCUUGUGCUCUGAACGUAUCACAUGAUGUUGCGUAUUUUAUUUAUCCUCACUGCAUUUUUAAGAUCCAUGUCUUAAUUUACCGAUGGGAGUGAGAUACAGGUGCCUGUUAAAUGUAAUUACACAGCAUAAGGACACCUUGGUGACAGCCUGACUUUCUCACAAGCCAAGUGUCUCCCAUGGACAAUUAAGGGUACCAUUUUUAAGAGACUUUCUUGUUCAUUUGAAUCAUGAACCCACAGUUUUUAUUGAGGUCCCAAACAAGAUCAUUUUAUGACAUCUGU